rnacentral:rRNA from 1 species
CUGGCGGCGUGCUUAACACAUGCAAGUCGAACGAAGAGCGAUGGAAGCUUGCUUCUAUCAAUCUUAGUGGCGAACGGGUGAGUAACGCGUAAUCAACCUGCCCUUCAGAGGGGGACAACAGUUGGAAACGACUGCUAAUACCGCAUACGAUCCAAUCUCGGCAUCGAGACUGGAUGAAAGGUGGCCUCUAUUUAUAAGCUAUCACUGAAGGAGGGGAUUGCGUCUGAUUAGCUAGUUGGAGGGGUAACGGCCCACCAAGGCGAUGAUCAGUAGCCGGUCUGAGAGGAUGAACGGCCACAUUGGGACUGAGACACGGCCCAGACUCCUACGGGAGGCAGCAGUGGGGAAUCUUCCGCAAUGGACGAAAGUCUGACGGAGCAACGCCGCGUGAGUGAUGACGGCCUUCGGGUUGUAAAGCUCUGUUAAUCGGGACGAAUGGUUCUUGUGCGAAUAGUGCGAGGAUUUGACGGUACCGGAAUAGAAAGCCACGGCUAACUACGUGCCAGCAGCCGCGGU